rnacentral:rRNA from 1 species
UACAGAGGUCUCAAGCGUUGUUCGGAUUCAUUGGGCGUAAAGGGUGCGUAGGCGGCGCGGUAAGUCGGGUGUGAAAGCUCGGAGCUCAACUCCGAAAUGGCAUUGGAAACUACCUUGCUCGAGGGUUGGAGGGGGGACUGGAAUUCUCGGUGUAGCAGUGAAAUGCGUAGAUAUCGAGAGGAACACCAGUGGCGAAGGCGAGUCCCUGGACAACUCCUGACACUGAGGCACGAAGGUCAGGGGAGCAAACGGG